rnacentral:lncRNA from 1 species
UGGUGCAAGACUUGGUCUUGUGAGAUAUUUAGGGUUGUGGUACAAUAAUAAAAUGUUUAUCUAUCUUAAGUCUAAGUCACUGUACUGGCUAGUUUUGUGUCAACUUGACACAGCUGGAGUUAUCACAGAGAAAGGAGCUUCAGUUGAGGAGAUGCCUCCACGAGAUCCAGGUGUAAGGCAUUUUCUCAAUUAGUGAUCAAGGGGGAAAGGCCCCUUGUGGGUGGGACCAUCUCUGGGCUGGUAGUCUUGGGUUCUAUAAGAGAGCAGGCUGAGCAAGCCAGGGGAGGCAAGCCAGUAAAGAACAUCCUUCCAUGGCUUCUGCUUCAGCUCCUCCUUUUUGACCUGCUUGAGUUCCAGUCCUGACUUCCUUAGUGAUGAACUGCAGUAUGGAAGUUC